UGCUGAGGUUGGCAGAGUCCUCUGAGUUCCUCUAACUUAAUCCCUGCCCAAGCAGGGACACCCAGAGCAGGGUGCCCAGGACAAAGUUCAGGCAGUUUUUGAAGUUCUUCAAGAAGGAGAUUCCACAGCCUCUCUGGGGCCGGAUGUGGAGAAGGAAUCUUACAGUUCAUAAACAAGAUCAUAAAAGAACAACUUGCUUUGUUACCACUUCUACUGAGGCUGUGAAACACGAGUUACUGAAAAUACUACACUGCAGCUUGUGUCCAUGAGGCUCAGGAGAAUGAGAUGCUGUGCUGCAAACAACUCAGAAGCAGGUACAGAAGUUUGUAUUGAAACAAGAAGCAAACCUCUCCCAGAGCAGGAAAGGAGAAGAAGGAGGGGAGAAAAUGAGCUGCCUCAGUAAUAUACCUCCUCUGACAAAGCUGAAAGUGCCUGGCUAUUUCUCAGCAAAUGAAAAAAAGUCUAAAGGAAUGAGGUCAUAAGAAUGGCUGAAUCAAAUGACCAUGAGACAGCUGUGUCCAAAUUUCUAUGUGGUAUUUAUAUAGUGAAUACAAAUGAGAAAUCUGAUUUGAAGGUGUGGAGAGCUCUGCUCCACUUAUGCAUGAAAGUCUCUUAUGAAAGUGUAUGCAAAAUUCAGAUGUGUGCCACUGGUUUUGGAGCUACAGAACAUGCAAUUUCCACCCCCGUGAUAAAUAUUCAUACCACUUAAUUGCACACAGAUAAUGACAUCUCCAAGUAUUGCUGCAGCAUCAUGUCUGCUUUCCUUUCUUAGUUGUUUCCUCAGAGGAUCAGUUCUGCUCUGCUUAGGACCAAAACCUGAGAGCAUUCCCACGGGGUUGUGCUGACAACACAGACAGUGGGGUAGUCACAAGUCUCUGGAAUAAGCUUUUCAUUAAGGUUCUUUAUCCUACAAAACAACCAAAAAGCAGUUGAGGUAGUACAGAGUUCACAGAGGCUAGUUUAUCAGGCUCCUAAGCAGACUAGCCAUGCAUCUAUAGCCUGUUUGUAUGACUCUCUCCACAAGUGCAGACAUAGCUUGCAAGGUCACAGAGAAUUCAGAAGUACAGGAACAGCAAAAGAGUAUGAAAAUUACAAAUAUAUUGUCAUGCUUAACAGGUUACAGUUGCUUUCAAACAGAAGGUAUCUCAAAGUUACCCACACCUUUUGCAAAUAAGCUCUUAAGGUGAAGUUUCAUUCAUUUCCAGUGAGGCUAGGGAGAGUAGACCAGUGUAACACUAGUGUGUGCAGGAGGGUCUUUCUAGGGCCUCACAGAUUUUAUCUAUAUUGGCAAGUAAUUCUGUGCAAUAGGAAGAGAUCAAUAAAUCAAAGCUUCCCCUUGUUCCUAGUUUAAUACAUUGCAAACCAAAUCCAAGUACAAGAAAGGAGCAACCAGGAGAUCUGUGCAGCAAUACAUUGCUGUUCCAAGCCAAGCUGUUGAUAUCAGCAUGGCCACACUUACUCUUACAGAGGACCUUAGAAAAUUAGAUCUUCAAAGUUUUACCUUAAAGGAGAUGAUAUGGAAAAGUCAUUCUUACCACUGACAAACCUAAACAUAAAACUCUGCUUUUCCACACAUCUUUCCCUUGCAGGUUUCAGUUCUGUCAGAGCACACAGCAUGUCAGACAAUUUUUGUUGUUAUUGUUGUUAAUCAUAUAAUACAGUCAGCUUUGUGGCAGGUAAAUGAAAUUUAGGCAUCUUUCUAUCUCCCCGUCAGUAUUUGGCCAUAAGAUUCUACAUUAAAUUGUUCUUUGCUCCAAAGCUCGCCCAGAGCAACAGCACUCCAACUUCACACAAGAGCUGAGUGAAGCUCUUUGUUUUACAGCAGUUACAAUCAAACUGUUGUUCUUCGUGCUUUAAUGGAGAUCCUAGAAAAGGAGAUUUGAAAAAGAGGGUUAAGAACAGGUUUAUAAAACUUAAGUAUGUACCUAAUCUGUCUGGGAAAAUUCAUAAUUCACUUUGCACAUUUUUGAAGCUGUCUCCAACCUUAAUAUCACAACAUCAUGCAAAGUCUGGAAGUAUGUGAUUAAUAGAUUUACCUAAUUAAAAACAAGCAAACAAAACAACAAACAAAAGUAAGUUUAUGUCUAAAACUGUCUGUUGGUGUGCCAAAUAUAUGCACAAAUAUAUACUGUAUUUUGUGUGUAUUUGUACAUUUAUAUGAAAACACACAUACAUAUAUAGAACUAUG
ensembl:lncRNA